rnacentral:lncRNA from 1 species
UCCCUUCAUAUAAAUGGUACGAAUGGACUCAGGAGCCUACAAUGAACUCAAAGGUCAUAUUCUCCUCAUUGAUCCGUGCCUAAAUGGAAUGGUUCGAGAAUUGUCCGUACGCUUGUACGGACGUUGCAGAAAAUCGAGAGAGGGAGGAGAGAGAGUACACAGGGAAAAGGAUAAGUGUGUGUGUGGUCCUAGUUGGUUACUAACCCACAAAACAAAGUAACAAGCCUAAGUAUUUUUCCAAGAACUUAGGAAAUAUAGAAUUGUCCAACUUAAGUACAUAAUACACACAACACACUUUAACGUCCAAGGGUAAAUUAGUAACUUCCACGUUCGAGACCAAUUAAUAUUACAACAUUUCGGAACGGGUUGUGACAAUCUACCCACCUUAAAAAUUUCAUCUUCAAAAUUCAUGCACAACAAUACAUCCACUAAUAACCAUAAAACAAUCGUGGAUACAUCUCUCUUAUCCGAUCUUCUGUCUCCCAGG